GCACCGGAUAAAAAGGAAAAAAAGUUUCACCAUAUAUAUAUGACAGCCUACAUACAGCAGUGCAUUGUUGACUAGAAGAAGAAGAUUGAUGGAUGAAUAAUUUAGCAGCCGGGGGAAGAAGAAACUGCAUUCAGUGCUGUGUUGUGAAUGGGAGACAAAAGGGAAGUAGACACCAGGAGAUGACUACGCCUAAGCAAGCCACUUGCCUGAGGCAGU
rnacentral:lncRNA from 1 species